UACGUAGGGUGCAAGCGUUUGUCCGGAAUUAUUGGGCGUAAAGAGCUCGUAGGUGGCCUGUCGCGUCGGCUGUGAAAACUCGGGGCUCAACCUCCGAGCUUGCAGUCGAUACGGGCAGGCUAGAGUUCGGCAGGGGGAGACUGGAAUUCCUGGUGUAGCGGUGAAAUGCGCAGAUAUCAGGAGGAACACCGGUGGCGAAGGCGGGUCUCUGGGCCGAUACUGACACUGAGGAGCAGAAGUG
rnacentral:rRNA from 1 species